AAGAGAGGCCACCUUCUGUCCUCCGCUGAGGAUUUGAGUCCUUUUGCCCUUGGUGAGAACACCAAAGAGGACCGCCGGAAUGUCACCAAAUAUCUAUUGAGUGCUUGCUCUGUGAUCUGGCAGACAACUCAAAGGCACAGAGAUGAAGAUGAAACACACCAUGGAGCCAGGGAAGGGCCUGGAUGCUGUGGGAAACACUACAACAGAGCCCCCAAGGACUGGGAUCAAUAUUGGAAACCUGUGCUUUAGUUCUUCCACCUCUGCUGCUGCUAUGCUGUGUGACCUCAGGCUUCUCCUUUCCCCUCCCGUCUAUUCUCCAAGCACCUAUUGCCUCCAAGAUGGGCUCUAGACUGUAAGAGCCUUGUCCUUCACUCUCCCAGUAGCCCCCAGGCCUUUGAAAACAGCCAGGCAGACCCCCUCACCUGCUGCUCACAUGGCAUCCUGUGGUGGCCCACGAAGCCCCAGUGACCUGCUGCCUGGCUGCCUCCCUCCACGGCUCUAACCUCUGUCCCCUUGGCACCAGCUCACUAUGAGGUCCUCCCUAUUCCUUAAGACCAAGCUCCAGCCUCUUCAAAAACAGCACAUCUCUCUCUGACACAGCCACUCUCCCUUUAUCCUGUGUAUUCCUUCACAGCUCCCCUCCCCAUCUGCAACCACACUCUGAUUGUUACGACUUUGCUCGUUCCCCUCUCUGGAAUAAAAAUGGUAAAACUCUGUCUCUUAUUCAUGACCAUUUAUCCACAACCUAGAACUGCUCCUGGCAAUGAAGAGGCUCGCCACGCCUCUUGCUGAAUGAGUGGAUGGAUGGCUGGAUGCUAAAAGAGAUUCCCACUAGGUUCUGAGAAUGAGGCAUCCCAGAGUAACAUCCUGUUUCCUUCUCCGUUACCUCGACACCUGUAGGACUGGGCCGACUGGGAGCACCAUGUGGAGAACAGAGACAAACUGGAGUGCCUUGGGGAGGAAGGAGGAGAGCACAGUCUCUGAGUCAGCCAUGAGGCAGAGCAAAUACAAGUGGUCAUGCAGGAAGAAGAGUGCUGGUUCUGCGGGGUCCUAAGAGGGAGAUGUACGGGGGGUGUGCUUUGUUCAAUAUGACAACACUACCAAUGGUUUAGUUCUUACUGCAUGAGCUUUACAUGUGGUGUAUCUUUCUGGCCUUGAAACUAUCCUGCAGGGUAAAACAACUGUCCCCCAUCAUAAGAAAUGAAGGUAACAGUGCAUGUUCUCCCCUCAGCCUGGGACAGCUUCACCAGGCAAAUUCCUGCUCAUUCUCCAGGCCAUCUCCCCAGAGAAGUCCUUCCUCAACCUCAAGAACACAUCGAGUUCUCUGUCUUCUGUUCCCACAGGACCCUGCAGUCACCCCUCCUAGCUCUUGCUGUAACAGUAGACACAUGAUUUCGGUGUAAAUAUGGACAGGACAGGAGGCAGGGCUGGACACUGCUACAUGCCCCAGAACAGUGCCUGUCCUAUGAUAUCCAAGGAAUAAUUAUCUAAUGAGUGAGAUGGAGCAGGGAACCCUCUUAGGGGCCCUGCAGCACCGCCCCCGCCAAGCAUGGAAAUAAAAUCUUGAGUUUCUUCAAGGGAAAUUCCAGGCACCUAGCUAGCCCUGAGAAGUAAAUAAGCAAGCUGAUAAGCAAGAAGGUAAUAGUAACUAACUUAAAACAACAGCCAAGGAAGCUAGAAUCAUGGGAUGUUUGAUUCCCUACAGAAAUUAAAGAUAACAUCUUCACAUAUGAACCAGAGUUCUUUUUCAGAAACCUGGACCCACACCAAACAGAUGUGCUGGCAUGCAUGCAGACCUCAGAUAAGAGGGAACUGCAGGCCGAACUCUGACCGCAGUUCCAGUUCUUUGUUCUAAACUUAUUCUUAGGAGGCCUGGAAGAAGCCAUACCCACAAGCUGGAGCUAACAUUCUUUUCUGCUGACCCUAAAUUUUAAAACAAAGCUUCUCUUCCUUACCCAAUUGCAAAGCAGAAACUCUCUGAAAUCUACCUAUGACUAUAAGCCCCCACCCACUUCAAGACGAUAGCCUGCCCCUUUGGGCUAAACCAAUGUGUAACCUCCAUACAAUGACUUAUAACUUUGCCUGAAACUUCUGCUUUCCUGAAAUUUACCCCUGCCUUUAAAAACCCUUGUUUGCAAGCCAUUGGAGAGGUGGGGUGUUAAGAGAGAACUGCUCAGUUCUCCUUGCUUGGUACUCUGAAAAUAAACACCCUCCUUUCUCCUGCAGUAAACCUCAGCGUGGAUGUUUGUUUUUACUGUGCCA
rnacentral:lncRNA from 1 species